AAAGAAAACAGAGCGCUUCCCUAGCUCACUCUCCCUCUCUCCCUCACUUCCUGCUGGGGAAGAUGGUUUACUCCCUCCCCUGCCCUGGCUCAGGACCUGGCCUUGGUGUCAAGUUUCUCCAGAGCUUCCAGAAUCAGAGGCCCUGCAUGCACUCAAAGGACUUCCAUUGGAGGUGAAAAUAUCACACCAACUGACUGUGAUGCCUUAGCUUCAGAGAAGAAAAAUAAUCAUCCUUGUUUAAAAAGUCCAUCAG
rnacentral:lncRNA from 1 species